UUACACAUUACGUAUUUUGCACAUCACUUCAUCACUAUUUACUAUUGUUAUUUUGUUAUUAUCUAUGCUUUUGAGUUUAUUUGCAUCUGUUAUUUCUAUAUGCCGGAAAACCUAUGUGAUGUGAUGCUAUACUUUCUUCCCAAUUCCAUGUUUUGUGACAUCACACUAGUUGCUUACAAUCAGCCAUGCUAGAGUAUUUAUACCAUGGAUACUGGAGAACAUGGCAAAUUCGGGCUUUCCUGCCCCCGAGUUAUGUAUGUUAAACAAUACCAGCAAAAUCUUGCAUCUAAGUGUAGUACAAAGCUAUAUGUAUCAUCAGAGAGGAUGUGUAAGCUGCUGUAAGAAUGCAAAUGAAGUGAUCCAUGAGCUGCUGACUGGAGAAAUUAAGAAAGGCUUUGUGGAGAAGUAAAUAUCUGAAUUCAUUAAGUUCAGAAAACUUUGGCUCUUUAUCAACUCCAAGGAAUGGACAGGGAUGCUAAUAGUAAAGCCUUCUGGGUACAAAAGCAAGACGGAACUCCUUCAAUACCCACCCAUCUUUUGAGGAUCCUCACUCAGCUGCUAGCCCCAGUGAACUCCCCAGCUGUGUAGUCAUUUGGCAGAGUGCACUGUUAUGCAUAACUUAAAGCUAUGUGUGUGUGACUCCAAAACAAGUGGUGAAUACAGAUCGUCCACAUGAAAACCCCCAAACAAUUUGCAAGUGAAAAACAAUGGAACCAAUGAUUUGAUGGUCAUGAAUAUGACCCAAAUUUCAGAUUUAGCUUUGACUGACUCCAUCCAUCAUCAACAUAUUUAUUUAUUUGUUUCUUUUCCACCUUUGUUCUAGGUAACCAAAAAUGCCUUAUGAUUAAUGGAACGUUGUGACUUAGAGAAAUAUGUGGUAAUAUGGGUGACCAUAUAUUAAUUAAUGCAAAUAGCAUCAAUAGCUAUGUAAAAAACAAUGCUAAUGCUAAUGAAUAAGUACUGUGUUUUAUAAAAUUUAAAUACAAUAAAUCCCCAUAAGGUCCUCAGAGGCUAUGGAGGCUUGGGAUAAGGGAAAAUAUAGCUUUUGCCCUUCUAUGAUGCUAAAACUAUAAUAUUCUGGUCACCGAAAACAUUCCAAUUGCAAAAACCCAUAGACAGAAUUUCUAAUCUUGGCUAUGUCAGAUUAUUUGGGUAUUAAAAUAAUCUUCUCACCAUAAACAUUUGUGAAUCUAGGCAAAAAGUAAAAAACAACUUGUUUGAGAUAUUGUACAAUAGGCAAUACUGGGAAUUUGAUCCUUAAAAAAGGGAAAACACAAAAUUAGCUUUAUGUUCACUCUAGAAUUUGACCUGGGGACAUUUUUCAGGUUCCAGCAUAGGAAACUGGGGUCCAAACAGAGAUUUCUGAUAUUUCCAUGGAAAGGAAAGAGAGAUGGUGGCUUGAAGAUACUGAGGUGGCCAGAAUUUGUAGAGCAGGGUACCAGAAGCAGGAACAGCAUAGAGAAGGAGCUGCAGACAUCUGCAUCAUGAUCCCCUUCAGUCAUUGGCCAAAUAAGAAGCUGUGCUUACACAGGGUGAAACUCCAGGAAGCCUGGAAAACAGUUACUGAGGGACAGGGAUGAAUGGAGAUUGCAGAGAGAUUGCAGAGGGUACUCAAUGAUUAAAAACAUUGAAAUUCCAACCAUCCAGAGUACAGACUGCUCACUGAAAAACCUAGUCAUUCAGUUCAGACCACAGAAAGGCUAUAUCUUAAGAGUAGGGCAAGUCUAUCCCUAAAGUAAAGGCUCAGGAACAAUCUAACAAAGCCUAAAACUAAGCCUCCACAGGAUCAAGCUGAGCUGCCAGCAAAUUAACUGCUUGUUAGAACAAAUCUCAGCAUUUUUUAAAGAAGACAGCAUUUACAUUGUAAACAGUGUAAUUUCCAAAAUAUUACAAAUUCAAUAAAAAUUUAGAUAUACAAAAAUAAUUUUAAAAUAUGACUCAUAACCAGGAGAAUUAGAAUAGAACACAAUGACUUCAAUUAUUAUAAAUAUGUUCAAGGAUUUAAAUAAAAAGGUAGUAUGUGAAAAGAGGAGAAAUCUCAACAGCUAAAUACUAGGAAAAGAAAAAAUGGAAAUCUUAAAACUGAAAAAUAAUAUAAUUGAAAUAAAUAGCCCAAACCCAUGGACUUAACAGCAGAUUGGACAUUUUAUAAUAUUGGUUAAUUAAAACUAUCUAAAUUGAACCCAGAGAGAAAACUACUGAAAUUCAGUGAGUUGGGGCAGGGUAACAAGUAGUCCAAUAUGCAUGUGCUAGCAUAGAAGACAAGAAAUGGCAACAGUAAUCUAUAGUGAAAAAAAAUCUGAGCAGUGGCCACCUCUGUAUGAGAAAAGGCUUAGGAAGGGACAUGAGGAACUUUGGGGGAAGACAGAAAUAUUACAUAUUUCAAUAGUGUGUGAGUCACACAGUUGGAUGUACUUACCAAAUCUCAUUGAACUAUAUAUACUCUUAAGAUCUGUGCUUUUUAUUAUUUGUAAAUUAUGUCUCAAUAAAAAGUAUGGAAAGCCAA